CAAUAGCGUAUAUUUAAGUUGCUGCAGUUAAAAAGCUCGUAGUUGGAUUUCGGGUGGGAAUGGCCGGUCCGCCGUUUCGGUGUGCACUUGCUACGCCCACCUUGCUGCCGGGGACGUGCUCUUGAGUUCACGCUCGGGACACGGAGUCGGCGAGGUUACUUGGAGUAAAUUAGAGUGUUCAAAGCAGGCCUACGCUCUGAAUACAUUAGCAUGGAAUAACACGAUAGGACUCUGGCCUAUCUUGUUGGUCUGUAGGACCGGAGUAAUGAUUAAGAGGGACAGUCGGGGGCAUUCGUAUUUCAUUGUCAGAGGUGAAAUUCUUGGAUUUAUGAAAGACGAACUACUGCGAAAGCAUUUGCCAAGGAUGUUUUCAUUAA
rnacentral:rRNA from 1 species